AGUAAGACAGACAGUCGCGUGUGCAGACCGAAAGGUCGUACAUGAGGAAAGUCCGGGCUCCACAGGGCAAGGAUAACGGGUAACGCCCGCCGAGAGCGAUCUCAGGAAAAGUGCAACAGAGAUAUACCGCUCGGUGCUUUGCAUCGAGUAAGGGUGGAAAGGCGAGGUAAGAGCUCACCCGAUGGCGCGUAAAAGCGCCCAUCGCUGUAAACUCUAUCCGGAGCAACACCGCUAUGGGAGCAACAGGCUUGCCCGGCCGCUCCCGGGGUGGCUGGAGCGUACCGGCAACGGUGCGCCAAGAUAGAUGACUGUCAAAUACAGAACCCGGCUUACAGUUUUGCUCG
rnacentral:RNase_P_RNA from 1 species